AUUGAACGCUGGCGGCAUGCCUAACACAUGCAAGUCGAACGGCAGCACAGCAGUAGCAAUACUGUGGGUGGCGAGUGGCGGACGGGUGAGGAAUGCGUCGGAAUCUGCCCAGUUGUGGGGGAUAACUAGCCGAAAGGUUAGCUAAUACCGCAUGAGACCGAGAGGUGAAAGCGGGGGACUCGUAAGGGCCUCGCGCGAUUGGAUGAGCCGACGCCGGAUUAGCUUGUUGGUAGGGUAAAGGCCUACCAAGGCGACGAUCCGUAGCUGGUCUGGGAGGAUGAUCAGCCACACUGGAACUGAGACACGGUCCAGACUCCUACGGGAGGCAGCAGUGGGGAAUAUUGGACAAUGGGCGCAAGCCUGAUCCAGCAAUGCCGCGUGUGUGAAGAAGGCCUUCGGGUUGUAAAGCACUUUUGUCCGGAACGAAAAGCGAUGGAUUAAUACUCUGUCGUGCUGACGGUACCGGGUGAAUAAGCACCGGCUAACUUCGUGCCAGCCGCCGCCGUAACAC
rnacentral:rRNA from 1 species